rnacentral:rRNA from 1 species
AAGCGGAGGAAAAGAAACCAACAGGGAUUGCCUAGUAACGGCGAGUGAAGCGGCAACAGCUCAAAUUUGAAAUCUGGCUCUUUUAGAGUCCGAGUUGUAAUUUGCAGAGGGCGCUUUGGCUUUGGCAGCGGUCCAAGUUCCUUGGAACAGGACGUCACAGAGGGUGAGAAUCCCGUACGUGGUCGCUGGCUAUUGCCGUGUAAAGCCCCUUCGACGAGUCGAGUUGUUUGGGAAUGCAGCUCUAAAUGGGAGGUACAUUUCUUCUAAAGCUAAAUAUUGGCCAGAGACCGAUAGCGCACAAGUAGAGUGAUCGAAAGAUGAAAAGCACUUUGGAAAGAGAGUCAAACAGCACGUGAAAUUGUUGAAAGGGAAGCGCUUGCAGCCAGACUUGCUUACAGUUGCUCAUCCGGGUUUCUACCCGGUGCACUCUUCUGUAGGCAGGCCAGCAUCAGUUUGGGCGGUAGGAUAAAGGUCUCUGUCACGUACCUCCUUUCGGGGAGGCCUUAUAGGGGAGACGACAUACUACCAGCCUGGACUGAGGUCCGCGCAUCUGCUAGGAUGCUGGCGUAAUGGCUGUAAGCGGCCCGUCUUGAAACACGGACCAAGGAGUCUAACAUCUAUGCGAGUGUUUGGGUGUCAAGCCCGAGCGCGUAAUGAAAGUGAACGGAGGUGGGAACCCGCAAGGGUGCACCAUCGACCGAUCCUGAUGUCUUCGGAAGGAUUUGAGUAAGAGCAUGGCUGUUGGGACCCGAAAGAUGGUGAACUAUGCUUGAAUAGGGUGAAGCCAGAGGAAACUCUGGUGGAGGCUCGCAGCGGUUCUGACGUGCAAAUCGAUCGUCAAAUUUGGGCAUAGGGGCGAAAGACUAAUCGAACUAUCUAGUAGCUGGUUCCUGCCGAAG